AACGAACGCUGGCGGCAGGCCUAACACAUGCAAGUCGAACGCCCUAGCAAUAGGGAGUGGCAGACGGGUGAGUAACGCGUGGGAACCUUCCCUAUAGUACGGAAUAUACCAGGGAAACUUGGAGCAAUACCGUAUACGCCCGAAAGGGGAAAGAUUUAUCGCUAUAGGAUGGGCCCGCGUAGGAUUAGCUAGUUGGUGAGGUAAUGGCUCACCAAGGCGACGAUCCUUAGCUGGUCUGAGAGGAUGAUCAGCCACACUGGGACUGAGACACGGCCCAGACUCCUACGGGAGGCAGCAGUGGGGAAUAUUGGGCAAUGGGCGCAAGCCUGACCCAGCCAUGCCGCGUGAGUGACGACGGCCUUAGGGUUGUAAAGCUCUUUUGGCGGGGACGAUAAUGACGGUACCCGCAGAAUAAGCCCCGGCUAACUUCGUGC
rnacentral:rRNA from 1 species